rnacentral:misc_RNA from 1 species
UUUUGAUCUAGUGAAUUUGUGGUGCUUUCAUUAAACAAUUCUUUGUCUUGUUAGUUCUUUGAGCUAAACAGAAAUUCUUCAGAUUUUAGAUAAUUUCCUCAUCCUACCAUCCAAAUACUAGGGAUUUGGUUUCAACAUGUGGCUUUUGUGGCUAAUGAAGUAGAAAGAACAUGCAUCCUUUCUUUGUGGAGCCCCCCUCCAUCUCAACGCAGUUGCAACUGUAGGAAUCCAAGCUAUAACCAGUGGCUGAGCCACAUUACAAUGAGCAUAGUCAAUUGAUCCCACUCAACUUCAUAAAAAAAUUUAAAAUGAUAUAUUAUAUAAAAUAUAUUUAAUAAUUUUAAUAAAUGAAUUUUAUUAAAAUUAAUAAAAAA